rnacentral:misc_RNA from 1 species
GGAAGGAUCAUUAACAAAUACUCUUUAUUGGGUGUUUAAAUCCAAUCCACCUUUAUGUGCAUUUUGUCAUGUCUUUCCGGCAGUUCAGGUGAUAGUUUUCGGUAUGAACUCUAUUGUCUGGUUCCCGCUGCCGGGUGGGGAAACCCUAACAAACGUUAUAAAAAUGUCUAAUUCUUUUGUAAUAAACAAAAACAACUUUUGACAACGGAUCUCUUGGUUCUCGCAACGAUGAAGAACGCAGCGAAAUGCGAUAAGUAAUGUGAAUUGCAGAAUUCAGUGAAUCAUCGAAUCUUUGAACGCACCUUGCGCUUUCUGGUAUUCCGGAAAGCAUGCCUGUUUGAGCAUCAUUAACAUCAUCACUAAUUCAUAUUUGUUUUAGUGGAAUUGGGUAACAUUCCCAGACUCCAUUGUCAGGGUUACCUGGAAUUUAUUGUUGGCUAGGAAAGCACUUUACUUGCAACAGCAUGAGAAUACGUUCUGAGGAACAAACCUGUUUGCUAUUGUUUAGGUACUGCGCAUUGUCAAUUUUGGCACUAGUCACUGGAAGGAAAUUUAUCAGAGUGUAACAAUUCUGUGAACUUGAUCUCAAAUCAGGCAAGAAUACCCGCUGAACUUAAGCAUAUCAAUAAGCGGAGGAAAAGAAACUAACAAGGAUUCCCCUAGUAACGGCGAGUGAAGCGGGAUCAGCUCAAAUUUGAAAUCUGGGAGGUUUUACCUCUCCGAAUUGUAGUUUAAAGAAGUGUUUUCGGCGGCGGCUUGGGUAUAAGUUCUUUGGAACAGGACAUCAUAGAGGGUGAGAAUCCCGUCUUUGACCCUUGUUUGCUGCUAUGUGAUACACUUUCAAAGAGUCGGGUUGUUUGGGAAUGCAGCCCAAAAUGGGUGGUAAAUUUCAUCUAAGGCUAAAUAUUGGCGAGAGACCGAUAGCGAACAAGUACCGUGAGGGAAAGAUGAAAAGAACUUUGAAAAGAGAGUUAAACAGUACGUGAAAUUGUCAAAAGGGAAACGCUUGAAACCAGUAUUGCUUGCUGGAAAUCAGUCAGACGCAUGUAAUUUGCUUAAGGUUCCUGAGUUAAUUCCAGAAUUUUGAGUAAUGUUAUAUGUGGUUGGUGCACUUUUCAGUUAGCAAGUCAACAUCAGUUUUUUUUGUUGUAAAAGAACCAUGGGAAGGUGACCUAAGCUUCGGUUUGGGUGUUAUAGCCCGGGUUGAUGCAAUGGAGAAGACUGAGGACUGCAGCAUAGGCCUUGGCCUGGUGUUAGUAAUUUGCCAUGAUGGAGUCUCCUUUAGACAGCUUGCUGGCUAUUGGUUGAUUUUCGUUGUGUUCAGGUCACAACCACACAAAUGCUUAGGAUGUUGACGAAAUGGUUUUAAACGACCCGUCUUGAAACACGGACCAAGGAGUCUAACAAAUAUGCGAGUAUUUGGGUGGCAAACCCAUAUGCGUAAUGAAAGUGAAUUUGGUGGGAUCUUUUUUAGUGCACCAUCAACCGGUCUGGAUAUUUUUUGAUAGAUCUGAGUAUGAGCAUAUCUGUUGGGACCCGAAAGAUGGUGAACUAUGCCUGAAUAGGGUGAAGCCAGAGGAAACUCUGGUGGAGGCUCGUAGCGAUUCUGACGUGCAAAUCGAUCGUCAAAUUUGGGUAUAGGGGCGAAAGACUAAUCGAACCAUCUAGUAGCUGGUUCCCUC